UACGUAGGGUGCAAGCGUUGUCCGGAAUUAUUGGGCGUAAAGAGCUCGUAGGCGGUCCGUCACGUCGGGCGUGAAAACCCAGGGCUCAACCCUGGGCCUGCGUUCGAUACGGGCGGACUAGAGUUCGGUAGGGGAGACUGGAAUUCCUGGUGUAGCGGUGAAAUGCGCAGAUAUCAGGAGGAACACCUGCGGCGAAGGCGGGUUGCUGGGCUGAUACUGACGCUGAGGCGCGGAAGCCAGGGGAGCGAACGGGG
rnacentral:rRNA from 1 species